UGACGAUUUGCACUACGAGCGGACGGUGAGAAACGGAGCUGAAACGAUUUCUUUCUGUGCGCGUCUUGGAAAACCCGUUGCCACUUUGCCAGCCCUAUAUUUCCAGACAUUCACGGUAAAUCAAUAAAACUACACGAUGAACAUUUCGCCAACAAAUAAAACGCCAUCACCCGUGGUGGUACGCGUCAUUGUUAGUAUGUAAUACCAACAAGAUAACAAUAAUAACAACAACAACGACGGAACAUCAACGACCAACUCGAUAUACAGGCGCGGAACACGCAACGAGCACAGCGGGCAGCCAUAUUAUUACCGUCUUUUCGCAGUCCGCACCUCUGCUGUAGACAUAAUGGUAACCCGCGCCACGGACUCGUUGCUCACCUGCCAGGUGAGGAGAAGAAGGAGAGAGCAAAGGAAGGGGUUCGAGGGAGGGGCAUUAUGGCGGGGAAACAGUCACUUUGCCUCUCUCGUUACUCGUGCGCUGCUACGUUUAUUUUGCUGCUUCCUCUGCACUCUCAUUUCCUUGCUUUCCGAGCUGACGAUCAAUCUGCAUAACGCUCGGCCUUUUUUCAAUUUGAAUUAUUACUCUGCUGUACAUUCUACGAAUUGGAAACACGUCAACCCGUCCGUUUACGAUGAAUAGAAUUACAAUGCACAGAUCAAAGGCUUUAUUGCUAACAAUAUUUUGCAUUUGUGUUUGAUCGAAGAAGUAAUCUGCAAACAUUUCCAGAGUAUUUUCUUCUAUGUUUUUAAAUUUUUACACAAAUUUAUUAAUCCUAAUCUUUUAUACACGUUAUUAAGGGUUGAUAACUGUUACCACUUGAAUUAUUUCAAAAACUAUAACGGGUAGAAAAAACUUUAUAUAGAUUCCUUUUU